UCUAUUUGGCCGGUAGCCUAGAUACAUAGGCCUAGGGCUGAGGUAAUAAGAGGAAUCAACAACAAAGUUGUGUUCUUGAUCAUUAUUAGAUACAGAGGCAUAAUUGUAGGGAGUAGAAAUAGAUAAUUUUUCAGAACUAUGAGAAAUUGAAUCUAGUGAACUGGUUUUAGCUCCAAGAUUUGAGGCUGUGAGAAUGGAUUUCACAAGAACUGGAAAUUCCUUUCACCCAAAUUUUUUUUCUAAUUGGAACUAAAGCCUCUGAAGCUGCAGAUAUGGUGCGUGACAUGAUGUUCUUAGUCAUGGUUUUCUUGUCAAAUGGUUGCUCGUUCCCAUUAGUUUCUCUGGAAUUCAUUAACCAAAACAACCAAAAAUGAAUUUCUCCUAAUUUCAGAAACCACUUUAUCUUUCUUUCUUGAAAUUUAAAACUAAUCUGCUUCAUUUUCUCAUGUACUGUGGAUGUAAUUAGUGUUUUAUUUCUUACUUUUUGAAGUAAGAUGAUUUCAUUAAAUGGCAUCAAGAAGAUGCAUAACAAAAAUAUACAACAAAAGUGUGGCUGCUCAUAUACAAGUGCUUUUAUUUUGUACUUGAGGUUUUCUAUUUCCCAAAAGCGAUAGUUUCAUGGAAGUAAAAACUAAUUCAACAUCGUUUUAUCAUCUUGCAGAGAUAGAAAGGGAAAGGGAGCAGGGAGGUCCAUUUUGUCCAACAGUACAUAGUCUUCAAUCGUCUCUCUUUUGCUGCUUACUCUUGUUCAGUACUAUUUGUUUUUGCCUUGAAUGAAAUCCAGUUUUCUGAUACCAAUGGAACUUUCAUACAACUCUUAGUGAGGUGUUAAUGGAUUAGUAGCUUUUGUUGGGGAGCUCCAGCAUGGAAUAUUGUUGAUUUUGAUAGUAGCUGUUGUCUGUAGUUAAAUCUGACAGCUUCCUUAUAUCAGAUGAAUUCUGCUUCUUACUCUUGGCAUAUUGUUGAUUUUGAACAGUUUUACUGUUGUCUGUAGUUAAUCUGACAGCUUCCUUAUAUCUAGAAGAAUUCUGCUUCUUAUAGUAUCA
rnacentral:lncRNA from 1 species